rnacentral:lncRNA from 1 species
UGACCCAGAGACACCAAUAAGAAAAGGACAGCGCAGCAGAGUCAGCCGUCUGAGCCAAUAGGACCUGGAGAGGGUGUAUAGAGGCAGGCCUACCUUUUUUUUUUUUAAUAUAUUUUUAUUUUAGUAAUGUUUUAUUUUUUAGAUUUUAUUUAUUUAUUAUGUAUACAGUAUUCUGCUUCCAUGUAUAUCUGCACACCAGAAGAGGGCACCAGAUCUCAUAACGGAUGGUUGUGAGCCACCAUGUGGUUGCUGGGAAUUGAACUCAGGACCUCUGGAAGAGCAGUUGGUGCCUCUGAGCCAUCUCUGCAGCCCAGGCCUACCUUCUUAAUAAAGGAAGUGUGCAGCCUGCUCUGCUACUCACUGACUCCCAGUGCCUGAGUUGUUGGUGCUGCAUUUUCUCACCCCCUUCCCCAAGAGGUGUCCGAGCAGGGUCACCUGAAACCCAUAAGUACCUGAACCUGCGUGUGAGCACACAUACGAGUGCAUACGUGUGCACACUGCAGGCGCGCGCACGAGUGCCUGUGUGUGUGUGUGUGUGUGUGUGUGUGUGUACACAAAAAUAAUAACCCAUUGACAGUUUUAAGAGACGAGAAGAAAAUGUAGGUCAUUUAUAAACACAAAAAUGAUUUUAUCCCUACUUUAAGGACUUAAGUAUUUAUUGGAGCCCUACUGUGUGCUGGAUCUGGUGUACUCCUGGAGUCAGGGGACACUGGGGUUUAGAUGUUUCUCCCUGAAGCUCCUGGAUUGGGAGUUUAGUCCCCAAGUCCACAUUUGGCAGUGCCCGGGGGGGGGUGUCUGUGAGGUGUGACUGAGAUUAGAUGAGGUAACAAGGAUGCCCCCCCAACCCCCGAGCCUCAGGUGGGAUUAGUGACUUAGUAAGAGGAAAAGAGACUAGUAAACUCUCUGCCCUCAGCAGCCUCCAGCCUUUGGAGCAAUAAAUCGCUUGUGUUUGCAAACGAUCCAGCCUCUGGUGCUGUGUUAUAGUAACACCGAUAAUUAACUCAGCACUCAGCAGAGAUGAACUUUGAGAAUCUCAGGUUGUGUGCCCAACUUUUCAGAGUAUAAUAGGGAUGUGUGCCCAACUGUUUUCAGUAUAACACAGUAGGAAGGAAUACCAUGUAUUUUCUGUUUUGUUUUUGUUUUUUUGUAUUUUAUGUUGUAUCUCACAUAGCCCAGGCUGCGAUUGUGUAGCAGAGAUGACCUUGACUUCCUGAUCUUCCUGUCUUCGUCUCCUAGGUGCUGAGUUGAUCCAUUAAAUACCUUUGCUUUUAAAAGCCUAAGUUUUGAUUUAUUCCUCUAAUGAAGCAAAGAAUCAAACCAAAUAACCCCAAUGCCAAACCUCAGGGAAAUUCACAUAAAACUCAGAAGUGACCAGAUGAAGCCAAGUCUUUGCCUCUGUACUAAAGGUGGAGAAGUGGGUUACAGGACCCGCUAGUUCCAGCUUUAAUCCCGAUACUAGGCUGGAAAAAAAUGUUUUGAGCCGGUGUUGGUGGUGCACGCCUUUAAUCCCAGCACUCAGGAGGCAGAGGCAGGUGGAUAUCUGUGAGUUCCAAGCCAGCAUGGUCUACAGAGUGAGUUUGGGACAACCAGGGCUAAACAAAGAAACCCUGUUUCAAAAACCAAAAAACAAAAUGUUUCCUUGGCACAAAAUGAUGUACUCAUGGUGGUUCUGGUUGUGGGGACGUCAGUGUGUGCCAUACAGCCGAGAGGACACAGCUCAGGACAAGUGCAAAAUACACCAGACUCUGCAGUUCGAGGAAUCACAGAGACAUCUGACACAAUCCCUGGCAGAAAGAUGUGGCCUGGAGAAGCAACUCAGCCCACUUGGGAAUGUCUGGGCUUCUAGGGAGGUGAAGACAGAGGACUUCAACUCACAGACCCAAGUGUGACAAAGCAUUUGUCAUCUGCCUGAUGACAGUCAGGGGAAUAUUCACCUUUGGUUUUCCUUGCUUGGGCACUGAGCAGCUGUGUGACACGGGGUAGGUUUUUUGUCCUCUCUGAGCCUCAGUUUGCUCACCUGUAGAAUGGGCAUGAUAAUGACGUUACCCUCUUGGGGUUGUCAGGAGGACAAAAGCAGAUUAUUUUUGUGGGUGUGGUUAUUUUGUAGGUGUUGACCCGGGGACUCCUGCUGGAGUGAAGAGCCUGUUAACUUUCCUUCCAGGCCUGGGAAUUGGUCUGAUGGUGGGGGCAAGCUUGGAAGUGGAGGGUCCUUCUCCCACAGGCUGUGGGCACUACGGAGACCCACUGUCAAGGCCUCCAUCUGAACCGGGACUUGAUACCUCCACCUGGGCUCACAGUGCUCUUGAAGAUAGCCACAGAAGGAGGGUACUCGUUUUACUGGCCUCAGGCCCUGCAUGGAGCUCACCACUGCCGGGGACCUGUUAAAGUAACACUUUUGUUUCUGAAGGAAGGAGUGAACCAGCACUGGAGUCAGAGAUGUGUGAAGCCAGGGAGGCAGAAUAGGAACAGUAAGGGAAGAUUGGGGCUGGAGCUCAUAGCUCUGUCAAAAAAUAAACAAAAAAAUAAGGGCUGGAGAGAGAACUUGGAUGUUAAGACUACUCUUCUAAAGGAGCUGAGUUUGAUUCCCAUCAUCCACAGAUGUAACUAUAGCGAUAGGAAUUUGUCACCCCCUUCUGGUCUCCCAGAGCAAUGCGCUCACAUGGGCAUAGCCACGCACAGGCAUACACACACAUACUUAAAAAGACUAAAACAAAUCUUUAAAAGGAAAACAAAGGCUGAAACAGGAUUCCUGUUAAAGUGAUCAGUCUUGCCUGGGUUGCAGGAGUGUUUUAUGCCUUUUUUUUUUUUUCAAGACAGGGUUUCUCUGUGGCUUUGGAGCCUUUCCUGGAACUCGAUCUGGAGACCAGGUUGACCUCAAACUCACAGAGAUGCCUGCCUCUGCUUCUCGAGUGCUGGGAUUAAAGCCGUGAGCCAUCAUUGCCCUACAUAAUUUAUGCCUUUUAUCUGUCUGAGACAGAUUCUCACUAUGUAGUCCAGGCUGGCCUUGAACUUGUGGUCCUCCUACCGCAGCCUUCUGAGUAUUGGGAUCACAGACCUGGACCACCAUUCCCAGCUUGGGGCAGAUUUGAACUCAUCUUCUCUGCAGGUGCCUAUUCCAUGCCAGCUGCCAGAAUGGAGUCCAAGCUGUGUGGCCCAGCUGUCAGCAGCGAGGUACCUUGUCCCUUGCCGACAUGGCUGGUUUUGAAACUUCUCAGCAGAGCCAAUGAGCCCAGAGUGAGCAACAGGAGAGUGAGGGCUGGUCUAUUCAAAUGAAAGGCAGAGCCAGGUGAGGGGAGGUACCUACCAUGGCUUGCUGGUCUCUUCCGGAAGUGGCCUCACCAUGGCCAACCUGCCUUGGGUGCUGGGCUCUUUAAGGAGGGUGAUGAAGUCCGAGUCUUUAUAGAAAGAAGGCCCAGUCAGCUUAGAGCUGUGGCUGAUGGCUGCUGUCACCAAGGAUAGCUUAUCUCCUUCUGUCAAGACUCCAAAGGUGCUGGUGACAGCCAUCCCUGGGGAAGCAACCUCUCCAACUAGGGGGUGGCGGGCAGGGAGGGCCUCCUGGGGGCCACUGGUCUCUGAGCACUGCUCUGCCAGGCACCACAGCCCUAUGCUUCAGUUACCUCUAGAAAAUGGACACAUGGAACUACCUUCAACAUUCUAGAAUGCUCCUGGGCACAGUCAUGUUCAGACAACUCAGCUUACACACAACACUGGGUGGACCACCACAGUGCGAAGUCUUUCUCGAACCUCUUUAUCCCCCAACUCUUUUCAUUUCUAACUCUCCCAUUCCCUGGAUUUCCAGACCCAAAGCCCCCGCCAUCUUGAUUCAACCCUUGUUUUCUAUUUUGCCCUCUGAUGUUUGAAAUAUAGUUCCUUCUAAUUCUGCCCCAGGUCUUGCCUAUGGCAGUAGCUCCCAAUACUCUGGGGUCUCCUCUCUCUCACCACCCUACCCCCCACCCUUCACACACUCCUAUUCCAACUCUUUCCCCUGUGUCCCGCUCGGAUGACCCUCCCCUCCUUAGCCUGACAGUUAAGGUCACUUAGCGAUUGACUUUGAUCCACCGGAGUGCUUCAAUCAUUGAAGGCUGGGGUUCCAGGUCAGUUUUCCGGGGGGCCCCCCGGGCCAGAUGACUUCACCAGACCAGACCUUGGCAUCUCUACUCUAUGAAUGAAUAAAUAGCUCUAAUAUUACAAUACUGUUGUUAUUAAAUGUUGGUUAUUAAAUGAUAGCUUACAUGUACUUACAUGUGCUAUGGCUGCAGUUGGCCUGUGAAGAUCCAGGAGUGGGAGGACAGACAGACAGACAGACAGACAGACAGACAGACAGACAGACAGACACACACACACACACACACACACACACACACACACACACGGUGGGGAUGGGAUAGAGAGAAAUUGAGAUUAUUGUUUUCUGCCUUCCUGGCUCCUCUUCCUGCUCCAGGCCACAGACACUCAACACUUGAGGCAGAUGCUCUGAGCCAGCUGAGUUCAAAUGGACAUGCCCUCGGCUCUAGAGAAGAUGGUAUGGGUCCUCAGGACUGGAUGAGGGCUUCACACUGUGGCAUUCCCAGCCUCUGUGCGGCGAUUUUCCUGCACUGAGGUCCCAGUGACAACAAGUGCUUGUCACCAGCUUGUCCCACCUCUCCCGGAAUGCCAGGCACUGACCAGAUUCCUCCCUAUCCAAACCACACCAUAAAGCAGAUGUCUACAUCAGGUCCAUUUCUCAUAUGAAAAAAACCUGAGGGUCAGAGAGGAUCCUUGCGGUCCGCCUCACAGCCAGAGCCUUUGCCUUGGGCAAUGCUGAAUUUUGACCCAGGUUGUUGGGGUUUCUCUCUGUGCGCUUCCCUUUGGCCUGGGAUCCAGCUGUCCCCACUGUCCCCACUCUGGAGCAGAGGUCCCACUGGGAGCCACUGUUGGUGGCUUUUUCUCCCAUCAUGUUUUCAGCCUGGGCUGACUGGCUGGCUGGGGACAAAAUCUAAGGAGGUUCUCCUUUCACAGCGCCCUUCAGAUACCCUCGGGCAGCUGUCGUGGCAUGCCUGGAGUUCCAGGGCAUUGUCCUCUGUGUGAGACCCAGAUGCCAAUGACAGCUGUGGCCUGACCUGCCUGCAGCCCCUUCACUGAGGAACUUGGAACCAGGACAGCCAGGCGGGUUUCCAAGCCCUCUGAUCUAUAUAAAGGUUGUGCUCAGUUC